CAAGUCGAACGUGAUCCGGGGCUUGCUCCGGUGAAAGUGGCGGACGGGUGAGUAACGCGUGGGAACCUGCCCAGUGGUCGGGGAUAACUGCGGGAAACUGCAGCUAAUACCCGGUAAGCCCUAUGGGGGAAAGAUUUAUCGCCAUUGGAGGGGCCCGCGUCGGAUUAGGUAGUUGGUGGGGUAAAGGCCUACCAAGCCUACGAUCCGUAGCUGGUCUGAGAGGAUGAUCAGCCACACUGGGACUGAGAUACGGCCCAGACUCCUACGGGAGGCAGCAGUGGGGAAUAUUGGACAAUGGGCGCAAGCCUGAUCCAGCAAUGCCGCGUGAGUGAAGAAGGCCUUAGGGUUGUAAAGCUCUUUCGGCGGGGACGAUGAUGACGGUACCCGCAGAAGAAGCCCCGGCUAACUCCGUGCCAGCAGCCGCGGUAAUACGGAGGGGGCUAGCGUUGUUCGGAAUUACUGGGCGUAAAGGGCGCGUAGGCGGCGCGAUAAGUUGGGCGUGAAAGGCCCGGGCUCAACCCGGGGACUGCGCUUGAUACUGUCGCGCUGUGAGUCCGGGAGAGGAUGGCGGAAUUCCCAGUGUAGAGGUGAAAUUCGUAGAUAUUGGGAAGAACACCGGUGGCGAAGGCGGCCAUCUGGACCGGCACUGACGCUGAGGCGCGAAAGCGUGGGGAGCAAACAGGAUUAGAUACCCUGGUAGUCCACGCCGUAAACGAUGCGUGCUAGACGUUGGGGGGCUUGCCCUUCGGUGUCGUCGCUAACGCAUGAAGCACGCCGCCU
rnacentral:rRNA from 1 species